rnacentral:rRNA from 1 species
CGGCGGACGGGUGAGUAACGCGUGGGUAACCUGCCUCAUACAGGGGGAUAACAGUUAGAAAUGGCUGCUAAUACCGCAUAAGACCACAGUACUGCAUGGUACAGUGGUAAAAACUCCGGUGGUAUGAGAUGGACCCGCGCCUGAUUAGGUAGUUGGUGAGGUAACGGCCCACCAAGCCGACGAUCAGUAGCCGACCUGAGAGGGUGACCGGCCACAUUGGGACUGAGACACGGCCCAG